ACCUUUACAAUGUUUGAUUCGAAUUAGUAAACUACACUUCGACUUUAAAAUUUGAGCUAAUUACUUAUUAUAAUAAAUUUAUAGUUGCAAGAAUUACAUAAAAUAUACUAACUAAACCAGAAAAGAUAAAAUGAUGUGUUUAAUUUUUUAAAGUCAAAUUAAGUGUAUCUGACUGAAUCAAAUCAAAUCGAAAUAGUUCAUAAUUCAGAUAAAUUUUACAGAUUUUUAUUUUUUGGGGUUAGUCGCAUCAUCUCUCUGUAAACAUAUCGCAUAACAAAAAUAUCCCUACUAAGUUCAACUUUUUAUUUUUAUCCCUAUAAAAUUCUAAUGAUAUUCAUAUUUGUCUUUCUGAUUUGUUACCAUUAGAGUACCGUUUAUUUUUUAACAAUAGAUAAGCAAAAUGAUAUUUUGUCAGCACAAAUAACUAUUAGAAUUAUGCAAAAAUAUCCUCCCAAAAGUCAUCUUCUUACUUUAUAAGUGAAUAAGAUUACUAUAAUAUAAGAGAGGUGAAAAAGUUAAUUUAUCUGAUUCACUAACCAGGGUUGAGUAUUUUAUCUACAUAUGGUCAACUAUAUAUUUCUAACAGAUUCUUAUUAACAGUAGGGUUAUAUUUAAAAAUGUUAGAACUUUUAUAGAGAUAUAUCUGUUAUUCGAUAUGUUUACAGAAAGCUAUAUGCAAUUAACCCUCUUUUUUCCAUCUCGGGGGGCAACGGCACAAGCAUAAAUAAGUAAAAAAAGAAAAAACUUCAAAUAUCCCCCAGUGGUUUAGCGUUUUCUCAUUUUAGUACUCUAUGAUUUCGUUUUUUUCUUUCUGUUAUCCUUUUCUCUCCGUUAAAAUUAAUAUAUAAGAAAAAACUUCGGAUACUCGAUCCCUAUGGUUUUCAAAUAUUCACUUUAGUAUCUAGUGGUUUACGAAAUUUCUCAUUUAUUUAACGAAAAAACUAACAAAGGAGAUAACAAAGAAAGGAAAAACUUCAAAUACCACCCUCGUGGUUUCCCACUUUUUUAUUUUAGUACCCUGUGGUUUAAAAUGUAUCAAUUUAGUACCCCGAGGUUUUAUUUUUCUCUUUUAAUUAUUCUCUCCACUAUUUUUUUUGUUAAGUCAGUGAUAAAGUUAAAACUAAAAGAUACUAAAGUGAAUAUUCGAUAAACUUAGGUAGAAUAUCUGAAAUUUAUUCUAUAUAAUUUAACGAAAUAUUAACGGAGGAGCUGACGAAAAGAUAAAAAUAAAAUCAUAAAAUACUAAAUUGAUAUAUUUUAAACUACAUAAUACUAAAGUAAAAAAAUACGAAACUACAGCGGCGGGGCGGUAUUUGAAAUUUAUUCAGAAUAUUAAAAUAAUAUGCUUUAAAUUAUAAGAUAUAAAAAUGAAAAAAGCUAAAUUACAGAAAA
rnacentral:lncRNA from 1 species